GGUUAAGCGACUAAGCGUACACGGUGGAUGCCCUGGCAGUCAGAGGCGAUGAAGGGCGUGCUAAUCUGCGAUAAGCGCCGGUAAGGUGAUAUGAACCGUUAUAACCGGCGAUACCCGAAUGGGGAAACCCAGUGUGACUCGUCACACUAUCAUUAACUGAAUCC
rnacentral:rRNA from 1 species